AUAACACUCAUAUUUUACAAAGAGAGAAUUUUCUUUGAGGGAGUCUCGGAGAAAAUUUUGAAACUGAGAAAACUGAAAAAUUACAUACUGGUUUGCUAAGGCCGAGAGGCGUCUAUUUAAAGAGCAAGACUACUGUGAUGUCGGCAAAUUCUGAAGGUAUGGGAAUCUUGACUAUUUGGCAGCUUAUGGUGACUGUGGAGGCACAGGAUUUUGACUAUUUUCUUUUCUACUUUUAUCUUUACUUUUUCACUUUUUAUUUUUCCUUUCUUUCACUUCAAUCAUUUCUGCUUUACUUUUACUUUUGCUUUUCUGACCUUUCUGAGUCAGUCUUCAUUAAGAUCAUAAGGGUCUUGACUGUCAGGGUAAUCUGCCCACCGAAACUUUUGAGUAGAUUCCUUUUGACUAGAAGAUGAGGCCUGAGAGGAAUGAGAUCUUGGGGAGGCUUCAUCGUCAUCGUCCAUUUGGGAGGCUUGAAUCAUGAGUUGUCUAGCUAAUUCUUUAAUUUUUGGCUUUGAUCUUCCUUCGAUUAGGAGAGAAGAGUGAGAAGUGCCUAAGGUUGAAGGCUUCUGAGGAGCUUUGACUAAGGGAAAUUCCUGAUUGACUUGAUCAAUGACCUUUUCUGACUUGAAUUUAUCCAACCAUUUU
rnacentral:lncRNA from 1 species